UUUGAUUUUGAAUGAUUUGAUUGUAAAAAAAAGGAUUUUAUCCUUAUAUUUUCCCAAAAGAGUGUGUUGGGUUUCUCAAGUUGGUUUCUAGUCGUUCAUAUAGCCCAUAACCAUCCAAUCUAGAUGAUCUACGCACACUUAAUUCUCCUUUCUAGGGGAUGAGAUACGUAGGCAGAACUUCUGGGUUCCGUGAUCUUUA
rnacentral:lncRNA from 1 species